rnacentral:rRNA from 1 species
ACUCCUACGGGAGGCAGCAGUGGGGAAUAUUGCACAAUGGGGGAAACCCUGAUGCAGCCAUGCCGCGUGUGUGAAGAAGGCCUUCGGGUUGUAAAGCACUUUCAGUAGGGAGGAAGGUAGUGUAGUUAACACCUGCAUUAUUUGACGUUACCUACAGAAGAAGCACCGGCUAACUCCGUGCCAGCAGCCGCGGUAAUACGGAGGGUGCGAGCGUUAAUCGGAAUUACUGGGCGUAAAGCGCAUGCAGGCGGCCUGUUAAGUCAGAUGUGAAACGCCCGGGGCUUAACCUCGGAAUUGCAUUUGAAACUGGCAGGCUAGAGUCUUGUAGAGGGGUUAGAAUUUCGAGGUGUAGCGGUGAAAUGCGUAGAGAUCUGAAGGAAUACCAGUGGCGAAGCGGCCCCUGGACAAAGCUGACGCUCAGAUGCGAAAGCGUGGGAGCAAACAGGAUUAGA